rnacentral:lncRNA from 1 species
CCGAAUCUCAUUUUUCUCAAUCUAUAUAAUAACAAAAUUUACUUAUUUAAUCAUUAAUUCAUUCAAUUUAACAAAAUUUACACAUUUUCGAAAAAUUACACUUUUGCCUCUAUUAUUCCAUAUUUUUGCAAUUUAGUCAUUAUCAUAUAAAAUCACAAUUUCAUGAAAUUAAGCACAAACCCAAGCUAGCCGAAUUUUCCAUAUAUUACUAUCAACCCAUAUUUUCAAUUUAUUUCACAUUUCAACGUCUCAAUUUACACUUUUCACAAUUUAAUCCUUUUUUUGACAUUUUUACCAAAAAUCACUUAACAGAACAUAUUAUCUAUAAAAAAAUUAUUCAUUUUCCAUCAUCAACUCUUAAAAAAAUCAAGCUAUCAUCAAUGGAAACUCAUAAAAUCAUCAACAAAUUCAAAAAUUAGGGUACGGGCUAGCUAGAACACGAAGCAACUAUCACAAAAACAUAAAAAUCAUAAAAAACUGAGCUAGAAACAUACCUCAAUUAAAAACAACAAGGGCCGAACCCUAAAAUACUUCCAUGGAUGUUUCUUUUAUCUAUAUCCAGUGGAAGAUGAAGGAAAUUAAUAUGAUUUUGGCUUUUAUUUUAGUUAGUUAUGUCAUUUUAACCAUUUUACCAUUUUAACCUUUAAUAACAUUUAAAAUUUCCAUUAUACCAAGCCAUAGAAUUCCACUAUCAACAUUUAUGGGAUAAUUACCACUUAAGGAUUCCUACUAUUUAAUAUCACAGCCAUUUAAUACCUUUAACUUAUAGAAUUUAAUUUUUGCGCUUUACGCGAUUUAGUCCUUUUUACCGAAUUAACCACUCAAACGGUAAAAUUUCUUUACGAAAAUUUCACACAACUCUAAUAUCAUAUUGUAAAUAUUAAAAUAAUAAAAUAAAAUUUUCAAUGUCGGACUGUGGCCCCAAAAUCACUGUUCUGAUUAACCCUAAAAAUGGGUUGUUACAACUUCUACCGAAACAAUUCAAGUUAGUAGCCAAAGUUCAGCAUCCCCUGCACUUCUAUCGAUACUUUGAUGGAUUCUACCAAUACCAAAUGAAACCCUCAAACUUCUACCGAUACAAAUUUCCUUCUACUGGUACAACGAAGCUACAAAUUGCAUUUAAUGCUGGUUUUUAUAGUUGUAACGACUCCAUUUUGUUUCUAACGACUACAAACAUCCAAAAGGUUGUUAGAGGACUUAAAUAAAAGGUCAAGGCUCCCCAUUGAAGUGAAAAAAGAUAAGAAAAAAGUGCAUGACUUCCAAGAAUUCAAUUUUCCAAUCUUUCUCAAUCUUUUUACUAAAUAUUUAUUGUACACAAUUGUGGGUUAAAUUAUCUAUCAUUCUUUUACGUGUUGUAACUUGUGAGAGACUGUUUAAUUGUUGAUUGUCUACCUUUUAAAGGUAUCAUCUUAUUCAUAAUUAUUUUUCUCUCAUUUGUGAGGUGUUACUUAAGGUUUUAGGUAGAAAACAUUAAGGGGAAGUGGUUCUAUCUUACCUUUGAAAAGAUAGGGAUUUGUAAGGUUAAACAUUGACCUUAAAGGUUCAAAUCUAGUGGAUUUGGGAAAUCCUUAGUUGAGGAAAGCUAAGGUAGUGGAUAUAAGCAAUUAAAGCCGAACCACUAUAAGUACUUGAGUUGUUUUGUUUUUUUUUCAUUUUCUGAAAACGUUUUAAUACACUAAUUCACCCCCUUCUUGGUGUAUUUUGAUCUCAACAAUUUCUUUUACUUAUGACCAGUUUAAAACCAAGGACCUUGUAGUUUGAACUAGAGAUUGAGAAAUUAGCUCAAUCACUACAAAUAGAAGCUAUUCAAUGUUGAAAACAAUCUCAAGUAAAAGAAUUAGAAUACGAAACACUAUCUUACACAAAAGAAAUUGAUGAUACACUCAGUGAACCAAAAGAAAUGACAAAUCAAAGCAGGUCGGGUAAGGAGUGUUACACAAUCUCAUUAACAAUGAAACCACUACCUCCUCCAUUAACGUGAAUCCCUUAUACACCACUGAAAAAUUCUCAAAAUGUUGAAAAUUGUGCAUCUGGCAUCUCAAUUGGCAAUGUUGCUAAAACUAACACUAACACUAACACUAGCUCUUCCACGUAGACAAAACAUUCAUGAACCAUUAAUGUAGGUUUGGAUAUUCUUAACUUAUCUACAACCAUAAACCACAGUUCGCUUAACUCUUUAUCCAGGAAAUUUAUAUAUGUCCGAAUUAGUUACACCAUAGCCUCCUAUUAUCUAUUAUUUGCAUAUUUGUUUUUUAGAUUUUUUAGAAGUUUUUCUUCUAACAAAUUUUUUCUCUUUAUUAUAACCAGUAUAUUUUUUAAUUCCUGGUUUUCAUCUAUCUAAUUCAUAUCUUCUAUUUUUCUUUCUAUGUUUUUUAUAAGUUUUAGGGCGUAUUGAUUUACAUCUAAAUUGUCACUCAUUUUUUAAAAUUUUAGUACAAUGUUUAUCACUUAAUUUAUUUUUAACUUGUUUAGAGGCUUUAGUUUGUAAGUAGAGUAGAGUUAUUUUUUCUUUUGCAAAAUUUAUCCUAUUACCUAUAAAAUCUAUAUUUUCUGGUUCUACUCCAGCCUUUUUUCUAUGUUUUUCUAGAUAAUUUACAUAUUUUUGUAUGUAAAUUUCAUCCCAUGGUGGUGGUAAUUUAUGAAAAUAUUGGUUUUUCCAAAAUUCUAUGUUUUCAUUUUUUUAGUUUUUGAUAUUCAUGAAGAAAUUUUUUAGAAAAAUCUUCUAAAUAUCUAAUAUCACAUAAUUUAUUUUUUGAUAAUAUAUAUGUCGAAACCAUUUUUAAAUCGAGUUUUGGAAAAUGGGAAUCGACUUUAAGAAAAACGAAAACGGGAGUCGCCACCAAUCUUUUUAAGUGUGAUUGGAUCACCUUAUAAAAUGUUUUGUUUAAAAACAUUAAUUUUGGUCUACGAAAGUCGAGAAAAUAGAUUCGAGAGUCGGUUACGUACAAGGAAGGUUUAGUACCCUCGUAAUGCCCAAAAUUUGGUGCCUAAUUGAUUAUCAAGUGUCUUUAAUGUCGGAAAUUUGAAAGUUUUAAGAUGCAAACCUCUUUUAAUUAGAAUGUCUCAAUUUUGAAAAUUAAGGCUCACUUAUUUUAAACAAGUCAAAACAUCACAUCCAAAAAGUUAGGACGCAACAUUUUAAAACCUUCGAAACUAAACUCGUCUUUCAAAAAUUUCUAUCUCGAAACAACAAAACGCCAUAUUCAGUAAGUUAGGACACUAUGUUUUGAAAUCUCGAAAUAAUUGUUUAAGUUUUGAAAACUCGAAAUCACUUAGAAGGGUGCUUGACUAUUCGAAUUCAACGAGAAAAGUCGUAACCCAGUAAGUUAGGGCACUACCUUUCUCGAAGUUUCCAAACAUCAAGCAUUGCAUUUUAUUUUUUUUUAAAAAAAACCUUGGAAUAUUAUUUUAAAUGACGUUUUAGGAUGACAUAUUAAUGUAUCAUGAAGCAUAGAUGUACAAAAUAUUCUAACAUUUCCAUACAAACAUAAAUAAUAUCAUUAAGACAAAACUAAAUAACAUGAACAUACGUUUAAUGAAAAAAAUCAUACUAGGGUAAAUAUAAGAUAAUAAACAAAUAAAAAUAUGAGUAAACUAAAAGAAAAACAUAAUACAUGCAAAAAUUAUACAACAAUAUAUAUCAUAAAAUAGCAUAUAAAAUAAAUAAUUAAACAUAGCAUAUAAAAAAAUGAAACUAUGCACAAAUAAGAUAAAUGACAUACACUAAAAAAAUGAAUAAAUAGAACAUUUACAAAUUAUAAAAAUAUAAUGCAAUAGUUCAAAAUACAUGAAAUGAUAAUAUAAUAUAUAUACAUGCAUAGAAAAUAUAUAUUUGAAAAUAAACUAUAUAAAAAGGUUAAAUAUUAUAAUAUAUAAAAUACAUAAUCAAAUGUAUAAAAAGAUAGGAAUAAAUAUACAUAUUUGAAAAAUGAAGAAAUUAAAAUAAAAAAAGGGCUGAAAAACUAAGAUAGACGAAGAAUAAAAUAAGAACAAACCACAGAGAGUAAGAACGCAAGAGGGAGAGAAAUUUGAGUGAAUGCUCUCAAGAAUUCUUAUUGCUUCCCAAAACUCAAGUGAUUUACAAUGAAGGGAGAGGCCUCUAUUUAUAGUUGAGCCUCCCCAAAUCCAAUGGUAUAGAUCAAUUACAUCAACGGUUAAGAUUAAAGGAUAUCUACAAAUUAAAUCUCCAAGAUUACAAGAUCAUAUCUUCAAGAUUGCAUAUCAUAUCUAAGAUUGCAUAUCAUAUCUAAGAUUGUAUCAUAUCUAAUAUUGCAUAUCAUAUCUAAGAUUGCAUAUCCUUAAAGAUUAUAUUUCCAUAUGAGUCAAGCUCAUAGAUGGACCUUCAAUUUUUUCAAGUAAUGGGCCAUUUCUAUUGGGCCAAAUUAUAUGUCUGUAAUUUUGUACUGGACUUGGACUUUGUUUUUUUUUUUGAACUUAUUUCUGGGCCCGGGAAAAAUUGAGUGUCUACAAUAUAACUAGAUACACUAUCCUGAUCUUUUUUUUUAUUUAUCAAAAUAGCUACAAAAUUCUAUUUUUAGAAUAAAAGUUAAUCCUUUUAAAAGAUCUUUAAGAGUUCUUAACUGAUUAAUUAACUGACUUUUUUGUUGUUUUCCUUUUUCAAAUUCCUCCCAACAUCUUAAAAAUUGUAAAACAUCCGCUUGGAAUGUUCCAACAAAAUAAUUUAAAAAAUUUUCUUUUGACCAAGUACUGUUAUUGUUUACAAAAAUUAUCAUUGACUGUGCCUAAUCAUCUAUAGUUAUUUCAUAUUCUAGUAUAGAAAUAUUAGUCAAGUCUAAAUAUAUUCCUCAUUGGGCCACAUUUCUUUUAUUUAAAUCAUCAAUCCUAUGUGGUAUAGGUUGACUAGAUGACUCUCCUAGAUAUUCAGUUUUAAUUUCAUUAGUAGCUAUAUUUUCAGUUUGAGUACCAAAAAUUCUAGUUGUAUUUUCAACUUUUUCAAAAUCUUUAUUUAAAGCUCUCAGAUAAUCAUCGUUUUGAAUAUCUAACUCCAUUUUUCUUUUUCCAUAAGGAUCUGUUUCUUCAGUAUCCAUUGAUUUUGGAAUUUCUAUAUUUUCUUCCUCGUUUGUUGAAGUGUUUUCUUCAUCAGAUUUAUAACUAGCAACCUUCAAAUCUUCUUGCUUAUCAGAAUUACUAGAACUACUACUGUCUGUAGUGUCAUAAUUUAAUAUAUAAUGAUAGUUAAAUAAAGUAAAUAAGUCUUUAUGUUUUUCAUAAAUUUGUUCUAUUAAUUUUAAAUAUUCUACUCUUUCAUUUUUAUCUGUAUUUUGAGUAAAUUUAAAUUUCCAAUGUUCUAUAAGUUCUUUAUAAGAUUGGAAAUCAUAUUUUUGUUGACGAGUAUAUUUUCUUUUUUUGUUUUUCAGGAUUCGUACUUCUUUUAUUAGUAGAAGAUGAUUCUUCUGAAGAAGUUUCUUCCUCAGAUAAAGUUAAUAUUAUAUUACUAUUACUGUAAUAUAAAGGACCUAAAUCUAUUUCUUCUUCUAUAUUUUUGUUAAUAAGAACUUGAUCUAAUUUAUUAUCUAUAUUAGAUAAUACUUUUUUAGGUUCGUUGUUCAAAUCUAAUUCAGUUACCUCUCCUAAAUUAUUAACUUGUUGUUCAAUUUUAUUUAUUUUAUUAUAUAAUUUAUUAAAAUAUAGAGAGGUUAUAUCCAUUAAACUAUUAAAUCCUUUACUAAGGGCCGAAAUAUUAUUUUCAAUCUUAGAGUGUAUACGCAUAGUAUGAUUACAAGUUUUAUCUUCAGAUAAACAAUAUGUUUCUUCCAUGAUAUUUAUCUAUGGUACCUAAAACUGUCUGUUAUGUUAUUAUGUCUUAACACUCAAAGGCCUAACGUCUCUCACUCGGACUUAAAUAGGCAAAAGUAAGACAAAAUAACAGAUGUAUGGGUUUUAAGAUAAAUAACCACAGAAUUAACUGAAUUGUAAAUUAAAGAUAAGAACUUACAAUGAAUACUACGAUUUAUUUCUCCAAGUAUCGUUACUCCGGAGGCCUCUUAUACUAAUUAUGGGGAAUAAGGGAUGCGAAAGAAGAAGGAUUAUAUUAUUACAAAGGAAACUUUACAAAAGAAAGUUUACAAGGAGAGGAUAUUUGAAAAGAAAGUUAAAAGUUUCUAAAGCUAUUUUGGAUUUUGAUAUCGAU